rnacentral:rRNA from 1 species
UACGCACGCUGGCGGCGUGCCUAAUACAUGCAAGUCGAACGCACAGUUUAUACCGUAGCUUGCUACACCAUAGACUGUGAGUUGCGAACGGGUGAGUAACGCGUAGGUAACCUGCCUGGUAGCGGGGGAUAACUAUUGGACACGAUAGCUAAUACCUCAUAAUAUUAAUUAUUGCAUGAUAAUUAAUUGAAAGGUGCAAUUGCACCACUACCAGAUGGACCUGCGUUGUAUUAGCUAGUAGGUGAGGUAACGGCUCACCUAGGCGACGAUACAUAGCCGACCUGAGAGGGGGGUCGGACACACUGGAACUGAAACACGGCCCAGACUCCUACGGGAGGCAGCAGUAGGGAAUCUUCGGCAAUGGACGAAAGUCUUACCGAGCAACGGCGCGGGAGGGAAUAAAGUUGUCGGAUCGGAAAGCUCUGUUGUAAGUGGAGAAAGGGUGUGAGAAGGGAAAGUGCACGUUGUGACGGUACCUGACCAGAAAGGGACGGCUAACUACGUG